rnacentral:tRNA from 1 species
AGCGGGGUGGGCUAGCCUGGUUUAUAAUCAAGCGGUUUACGCUUAUUAAAUACGCCGCAGGGCUCAUAACCCUGAGACCGUUCGUUCAAAUCGAACCCCCGCUACCA